rnacentral:rRNA from 1 species
GACGAACGCUGGCGGCGUGCUUAACACAUGCAAGUCGAACGGAAAGGCCCUGCUUUUGCGGGGUGCUCGAGUGGCGAACGGGUGAGUAACACGUGAGUAACCUGCCCUUGACUUUGGGAGAACUUCAGGAAACUGGGGCUAACACCGGAUAGGAGCUCCUGCUGCAGGGUGGGGGUUGGAAAGUUUAGGCGGUUGGGGAUGGACUCGCGGCUUAUCAGCUUGUUGGGGGGGUAGUGGCUUACCAAGGCUUUGCCGGGUAGCCGACAUGAGAGGGUGACCGGGCACCAUGCGACUGAGGUAGGGCCCAGACUGCAACGUGAGGCAACGGUGGGAAGUAUUGCACAGUGAUGGGGCGCGUGAUACGACAGCCCCGCGUGCGGAAUGACGGCCUUCGGGUUAUGAACCGCUUUCGCCUGAGACGAAGCGUGAGUGACGGUACCGGAUAAAGAAGCACCGGCUAACUACGUG